ensembl:lncRNA
CCUAAGAAAAUUAUUCUCCUCUAAUAUUUUUCACUGUGUCUGUCCUUCACAUGUGGCAGUGAGCUGGCACCUUCUGAUAUUGAGAUUCUCACUCUUAAGCCAUUUAAUUAAGCAGAAGGUGGCUGCUGUCAGAUACGGGAGCAGUGCCUAAGGAAAGGGCCCAAGGGGUGUUUUACGAGAGGGUGCAAAGAGGAGCAGGGCUCCUGCCAGAGAGCACUUUGGGGAUGAAGGAGACACCAGAGACAAGGCUCAAUCUGAGGCUACUCAGGUACUGAAGAGCAGGUACCUUUAGCCCUCACAAAGGAUAUUUUCCUGAGCUGCCAUGACUUCUGGUUGCCUGCUGUGAGAAACUGGUACCAGCCAGCUCACUUAAGCUGAUGAAAAAGUCUGAGUUAGAGGAACCUGUUGACCUCUCAGAAGCAACCAGUACCUCCCAAACUCUAAUCAGCUGGUUCCAGGUGGAACAGGUUCACACAUUGGAGCAAGUUUUUUUUGAGAAGGUGGUUGUACUAAAACUACAUACAUACCCUGCUUGCUACUCUGUAAAACUGCCCUGAAUAUAUCAGUGUUUAAAGCAGAUACCUACUGAGUAAAUAUAGCCUGCCUGUGUAGAGAAAAAGUUAUUCAGACUUUUUACGGGAAGUAUGUUAUUCUUGUCAAGAAGUUAUGAAAUAAGAUGGAAAAGAUUUACUAAGUACCUGGAGGGAAAGUCACAAAUAUCCUGAAGGCCAAAUACUGCCUGAAGAUCAAGUUGUUAGUUUGAACUGAGCUUCUCAACUUAGUUUUCAUUCUCUAUGUCAUAUUUUUUGCUGUGUGUUUGGUUGACUCCAAGUCCAGUGUGCUGGUAAUGCCAUGUGCUCCAGUAGAGACAUAUGAAUUUGGAGUUGUGGUAUAAAAUCAUAGACUGUCCCAGGUUGGAGAGGUCACGCAAGGAUCAUCAAGUUCAACUCCUGGGUCUGCGUAGGACCACCCCAAAAUCAGAUCAUAUAUCUGAGAGCAUUGUCCAGAUGCUUCUUAAACUCUGGCAGCUCAGUGCCAUGACCACUUCCCUGGUAUCGAACCUGACUCUUCCCUGUAAAAGCUUCAUGCCAUUCCCUUGGGUUCUAUUACUGAACACUAGAGGGAGUACAUCAGUGCCUGCCUCUCUGCUCCCUCUCAUGAGGAAGCCAUAACCAUAUCAGCCCACCAAUCAGCUAGCUGUUUUAGCCCCAUUUUCACAGUGAUGUUUGAAUACCAAGGCCUAUACCACUGAUGCAGACAAGUUAAUUACCUGUAUCUUGUAAUAGUCUAUUGAUGUUUAACAGAUAAAGUGUCCCUUGUGCUGAAGAUGGAGCUUGCAGCUAUUUUGUUUUUAUUUCAUUACAAUUGAUAUGCAAGGAAAGAAAAGAAAUAUAAGCUAACUGUAGGCCAGUACUCUUGAUGCAUGCCCGGGUAGUUCACUGACCCACAACUAUGCUGGCAGAAGGAGAAGGUCAGAUCUGAUGCUGUAAGGGUUAAACAGUAAGGUUUGCUAAGUCAGACUUACAGAUGAGUUCAGAUGCAGUGGUUAGCAAUAAUGAAAAAAUGGGCUUGAUUGGCAAUCUCUCUAAUGCUUCUGGAUUAAUUGAACACACCCUUGUGUCAGCACAAGGAUUGAUGGGUAUAGGAUAGAAAUACACGGUCAUGUGAUUUUCCGUAGUUCAUGAUCAGAGGCCAGUUGUGGGGAAGAGUAUAUAAUACUAGUGAAACUGUCUUCCUUGAACUUGUAUUGGAAUAAGUUUUGUGUGUAACAGGCCAUACUGAGUCAUCUACAAAUAAUAUGAAAAUGCUUGCUAAGGGUUUUACUCAAUCUUUAGAAGUAAUUCAUACUCUGUAGUCCAAAAAUGUAAGAAGCUACAAGAACAUUUAAUUUUCCUAAGAAUGUCUUUCCUGAUAUAAUAUAAAAGUUUUCAUGUUGAAGCUCUGUUUUUUUUUCUCUCUAUUUUUGAUCAGUUUUGAGUGCCAAUUUUGUUUUAAAGUCAGAAAGCUCUUCAGAAGAUAGCUAACUCACCAACAUUUUUCCUAUUGUUAAGCUAAAUCAUACUCUGCAGACUUUCUGUGAAUAAUUAACUCCAGAACUUACUGUGCUGCUUAAAUGAGGCCUGUACUAGAAAGCGAAAUUAUUUGCACUAUGAGCAGGUUAAUUCAUUUUCCAUGCUGCAACACAUACUUAUAGGGGGAAUCAUUCUUCAAUGUCAUUUUAGCAAUAAUUUUUUGUAUGUCCAUAUGCCUCUUCUGAGAUGGAGCUGGUAAUCCAUCUCAUUAAAGAUUUAAAUACUUCUUUGAUGCUAAAACAUUUUUCUUAAUUCCAUAAAUAUCUGGUGGCACUUGUUCUAAAUUGAAGUGAGAUGUACUGUUUAAUAUGACAUAGUGAGUUCUGAACUCACAGCCAAUGAGCAAUGUCAAACCCUGCCUUUUUCCAAGCAAUUAAUUUGAUAAAUGUUCUUUAAUGCAAUGUGUAGGCCUAUUAGAAUACUUGUCAACAUUGCAGAGGCCCAGCAUAAUUUUUUUAUUUCUAUAGAUCGGUCUUUUAGAG